UACGGAGGGUGCAAGCGUUGUUCGGAAUUAUUGGGCGUAAAGCGCGUGUAGGCGGUCUUUUAAGUCUGAUGUGAAAGCCCCGGGCUCAACCUGGGAAGUGCAUUGGAAACUGGGAGGCUUGAGUACGGGAGAGGAGAGUGGAAUUCCUAGUGUAGGAGUGAAAUCCGUAGAUAUUAGGAGGAACACCGGUGGCGAAGGCGGCUCUCUGGACCGAUACUGACGCUGAGACGCGAAAGCGUGGGUAGCAAACAGG
rnacentral:rRNA from 1 species